GUGAGGAAUAUUGCGCAAUGGAGGCAACUCUGACGCAGCCAUGCCGCGUGCAGGAAGAAGGCGCUACGCGUUGUAAACUGCUUUUAACCGGGAAGAAACCCCAGGACGUGUCCUGGGUUGACGGUACCGGAGGAAUAAGCACCGGCUAACUUCGUGCCAGCAGCCGCGGUAAUACGAAGGGUGCAAGCGUUAUCCGGAUUCAUUGGGUUUAAAGGGUGCGUAGGCGGAGCGUUAAGUCAGUGGUGAAAUCCUGCAGCUUAACUGUAGACUUGCCAUUGAUACUGGCGCUCUUGAGUGCGCUUGAAGUGGGCGGAAUGUGCCGUGUAGCGGUGAAAUGCUUAGAUAUGGCACAGAACACCAAUUGCGAAGGCAUCUCACUAAGGCGAUACUGACGCUGAGGCACGAAAGCGUGGGGAUCGAACAGGAUUAGAUACCCUAGUAGUCC
rnacentral:rRNA from 1 species